rnacentral:rRNA from 1 species
ACUCCUACGGGAGGCAGCAGUGAGGAAUAUUGGACAAUGGGUGGAAGCCUGAUCCAGCCAUCCCGCGUGCAGGAAGACGGCCCUAUGGGUUGUAAACUGCUUUUAUCUGGGGAUAAACCUACUUACGUGUAAGUAGCUGAAGGUACCAGAAGAAUAAGCACCGGCUAACUCCGUGCCAGCAGCCGCGGUAAUACGGAGGGUGCAAGCGUUAUCCGGAUUUAUUGGGUUUAAAGGGUCCGUAGGCGGACUGAUAAGUCAGUGGUGAAAUCCGACAGCUUAACUGUCGAACUGCCAUUGAUACUGUUAGUCUUGAGGAAGGUUGAAGUGGCUGGAAUAAGUAGUGUAGCGGUGAAAUGCAUAGAUAUUACUUAGAACACCAAUUGCGAAGGCAGGUCACUAAGUCUUAACUGACGCUGAUGGACGAAAGCGUGGGGAGCGAACAGGAUUAGAAACCCGAGUAGUCCCAUGA